GACGAACGCUUGCGGCGUGCUUAACACAUGCAAGUCGAACGGAAAGGCCCUGCUUUUGUGGGGUGCUCGAGUGGCGAACGGGUGAGUAACACGUGAGUAACCUGCCCUUGACUUUGGGAUAACUUCAGGAAACUGGGGCUAAUACCGGAUAGGAGCUCCUGCUGCAUGGUGGGGGUUGGAAAGUUUCGGCGGUUGGGGAUGGACUCGCGGCUUAUCAGCUUGUUGGUGGGGUAGUGGCUUACCAAGGCUUUGACGGGUAGCCGGCCUGAGAGGGUGACCGGCCACAUUGGGACUGAGAUACGGCCCAGACUCCUACGGGAGGCAGCAGUGGGGAAUAUUGCACAAUGGGCGGAAGCCUGAUGCAGCAACGCCGCGUGCGGGAUGACGGCCUUCGGGUUGUAAACCGCUUUCGCCUGUGACGAAGCGUGAGUGACGGUAAUGGGUAAAGAAGCACCGGCUAACUACGUGCCAGCAGCCGCGGUGAUACGUAGGGUGCGAGCGUUGUCCGGAUUUAUUGGGCGUGAAGGGCUCGUAGGUGGUUGAUCGCGUCGGAAGUGUAAUCUUGGGGCUUAACCCUGAGCGUGCUUUCGAUACGGGUUGACUUGAGGAAGGUAGGGGAGAAUGGAAUUCCUGGUGGAGCGGUGGAAUGCGCAGAUAUCAGGAGGAACACCAGUGGCGAAGGCGGUUCUCUGGGCCUUUCCUGACGCUGAGGAGCGAAAGCGUGGGGAGCGAACAGGCUUAGAUACCCUGGUAGUCCACGCUGUAAACGGUGGGUACUAGGUGUGGGGUCCAUUCCACGGGUUCCGUGCCGUAGCUAACGCUUUAAGUACCCCGCCUGGGGAGUACGGCCGCAAGGCUAAAACUCAAAGGAAUUGACGGGGCCCCGCACAAGCGGCGGAGCAUGCGGAUUAAUUCGAUGCAACGCGUAGAACCUUACCUGGGUUUGACAUGGAUCGGGAGUGCUCAGAGAUGGGUGUGCCUCUUUUGGGGUCGGUUCACAGGUGGUGCAUGGCUGUCGUCAGCUCGUGUCGUGAGAUGUUGGGUUAAGUCCCGCAACGAGCGCAACCCUUGUUCACUGUUGCCAGCACGUUAUGGUGGGGACUCAGUGGAGACCGCCGGGGUCAACUCGGAGGAAGGUGGGGAUGACGUCAAGUCAUCAUGCCCCUUAUGUCCAGGGCUUCACGCAUGCUACAAUGGCUGGUACAGAGAGUGGCGAGCCUGUGAGGGUGAGCGAAUCUCGGAAAGCCGGUCUCAGUUCGGAUUGGGGUCUGCAACUCGACCUCAUGAAGUCGGAGUCGCUAGUAAUCGCAGAUCAGCAACGCUGCGGUGAAUACGUUCCCGGGGCU
rnacentral:rRNA from 1 species